CUGAGUUGACAGCUCGUACUUCUUUAAAUGGGGUGACUCUGAGAAGACAGUACCAUAGUGAGUUUAUAUUGCUUUCCUACCUAUUAAUUUGAAAAGCAUAAAAACUUCUAAAAUCUACUUCAUGGACUGAGGUAGUGAGUUUCUCACAGUGUGCAAAGGAACUUAGGAACUCACUUAGAUGGUCAGAAAGCUGAUAACGUCAUGAGCUAUGUUCAGAAAGCAUGUUUAUAGAUGUCAUUUCUAACUGUUGUAUUUAGCAUCAAUUGACUCAAGUUCUGCACUAAAGAUUCUGCGAAAGGUCCUACACUUCCUGAAUAAUCACAGUAUGGCAGAGUAGUGAAAAUUGUCCAAAACAGCACUAAGUGUGUUAAGGAUUUUCUGGAAGGGGCUUGGAAACAGAUUCUAUUGGAUAGACUGCAGGAAUACUUCAGCAUGGUGGGAGUUCCAGAACCCUGUGGGGAAAAAAAGCUUGAAAUAGGAUUUUGUCCUGAGCAAAAAUGAGCACUGAAGAGUUGCUAAAGUAAUAGGGCCUUUGUAAAACUAAAGGGACUUUGCAACUAUUCAGUUGUUUAGUUUUAGGAUUAGAAAUCAGUAUUACUAUAUAGCAGCAAAGCUUUCUUUAGGUGUAGCCUCUUUUGUCACCACCAAAGGUGCUAACAAAAGCAGUAGUGCUUGACUGGAAUGAACGCUGCAGGCAGAGAGGGCCAGGAUGGCAGCUUAUGCUGUCUGCCUGCUUCAGAACUGCCUUCUUGAAGGCUCCCAGGAAACUAAUAACUCUUGCAGAGGUCUGGCUUGCUACAUCUUUGACUCUCGUGCAUUGUACAGGGGUUUACUUUAAUUCACAAUAGCUCGUGUUGUUUGAAAAGCAACACUCAGAGUGCAGAAGCUAGGCACUACGUACAGUGUGAAAUAGCUAAACAUGAGGGAAAAAAACUUUGAAGUAUGGAACAUCACAGCACCAUCUGCUGGAUGCACAACUGCUGUUUUCCAUGCAGAGCUUUGUAUUGCUUUUUUUUCACCUGUUUACUGAAAGGUUGAUCGACUCCAGUUAAUAUAUUACAUGAAUGCAGGUAUAAAUAUAUGCUCAUUAAAAGGCUCCUGAGUGAGCUGGCUUGGCUGUCAGACCAGUUUUUCUUUAGUGAAGGUACCACAGAAGAAGAACAGGACUGCAGAUUUUGGAUAGCCUUGUAGCUGCUGGGUAUUUUACUGUGCUGAAUAAUUCCACGGUGAUGUUAACUAUUGGAAAAAUAUUCUUGCUGUCUGUGCAGUUUCUUACUCAUCUCUUUGCCUACAGUCACCAUCAUUUCUGUGGGGCAGAGUUACACAGGAACAACUUCACAAAGGUGCAGGGCUGCAGUCUCCAAUUUACCUGAGCAGAGAAGAUUAAUGCCAGCUCUCUAUUUACAAGAAAACAAAAACUUCAUAUAAAGCCUCAGCGAAGUGCCAUAUCUAAUAUCUCCACAGAGUAUAUCCUUUCUUCCCAGCUAAGAAGGAGCAAGUCUAGGUAGAUAACAGGCGUGUUUACCCUUGGCUGGAGAUGCUGCAUGCUUCUGAAGAAUCUGAGACAUCCAUGGUGCCAUUGCAAUCAGCGG
ensembl:lncRNA